rnacentral:rRNA from 1 species
AACGAACGCUGGCGGCAUGCCUAACACAUGCAAGUCGAACGAGACCUUCGGGUCUAGUUGCGCACGGGUGCGUAACGCGUGGGAACCUGCCCUUAGGUUCGGAAUAACUCCCCGAAAGGGGUGCUAAUACCGGAUAAGGUCUUCGGACCAAAGAUUUAUCGCCGUUGGAUGGGGCCGCGUUGGAUUAGCUAGUUGGUAGGGUAAAAGCCUACCAAGGCGACGAUCCAUAGCUGGUCGGAGAGGAUGAUCAGCCACACUGGGACUGAGACCCGGCCCAGACUCCUACGGGAGGCAGCAGUGGGGAAUAUUGGACAAUGGGCGAAAGCCUGAUCCAGCAAUGCCGCGUGAGUGAUGAAGGCCUUAGGGUUGUAAAGCUCUUUUACCCGGGAUGAUAAUGACAGUACCGGGAGAAUAAGCUCCGGCUAACUCCGUG